UAUUCUCAAUCGAAGGUUGUAUUAUAAAUACCACAUGCAUAUGAUACGAAAUUUUAUAACCGAUCCAGUUCUGCUUCCGACGAGAUACUAACGUGCAACAUUUGGAUUAAGCGCUACGUUGAACGCUUUACGUUAUGAUCGUUGGAUAUCUAUAUUUAUUCCGGCCCGUCUCUAAGAGUUUUACAAUAGGAAUUUUGUUUUAGAACACGAGCCAAGACCGAAACUUUCAAGUACCAUAGAGGUAUCUUUACCUUGCUGUCUGUGCAAGCUGAGAACCAGCUAUAUAAGUCCGGAAACUCUCUAGACAUUAAUGUUAUAUAUCGGUAUAUGCACUAUGCUAUGUGUUUGGAUUUUGAUUACAGUUACAAGUUAUUUAAACUUAUGAACUUAAAUAAAAAUACAUGUAGAUCUCAGCAAAAUAUGACAGUCGAAAAUUAUUUAAUCCUAUCUUAGUUAUAAGUGUUCUUUGCUGCACCAACUUGACACAGGAGUGUAUUAACUUAUGACAUUGUCUUUGAUUGAAGAGUUCGAAUAAGGUUUUUGUUGAACAAUAACUUGGUAAUUUAUCGCUGUCUCUUACAAAAUGCAAACCUUAUUUUUGUAGUAUUUACAUGUGUUUUUAUACAUUUGAAAAGAACGCCUACAUUCACGGAUAUCUAGCACGAGAACACGUCCGCAUCUGAAAACAAGUUAUUCAAACUUGUUAUUUUUAGAUUAAAUUUAAUAGCGAUUUUAAAAGGGGUAAAGAGAGGUCAGCAUGGGUAACUGCAAUGGCAAUGAAAAACUGAUAGCAAAACUAUCGGAGAAUAUCGGCGAACUUUACAAUAACAUGACGAUUAUUGCGCACGCAACUAAUGAACUUGUCGACGUCAUCAACACUCAUCUCCAUGGAAAUCUUCCUCACGUGACAGUUACGGAACGGGAGAUGAUUCAAAUCAAUGCUGAACGCUUAGUAGAAUUAAAUAAUACUAUAAACGACUUCGUGGAGAAGAAUAUGAAAGACGUUAAAGUAAGGUUAGAGCCUGAAAUUUUCAGGAAUCUUUUGGAUAUUACAAUAUCAUCUGAAGAAGCAACUUGGCCAACAACAGCAGACGAGUUGAAAGAAGACAUUGAAAAAUCAAACACAUGUGUUACAGACCUAGAGAAAAAUACAGGACGAUAUAUCGAAGAUGUUGAAUCAAUUAAGGUUCAGACUGAGAGCAUGGCCUGAUCCAAUUUAUAAAGCACAAAAGCAUGAUUAUGGUAUCGAAAUGAUAUAGCCAUUGGUAGACGGCAGACACUAGAAGAUUUUAAGGUGGAAUCAUAAUGUGCCCAUAUACUAGUUUUACUGCCUUUUAUGUUUGUAUCUUUUCGAAAAACUUUUAUACAUUCAAGCAAAUCUUACUCCUGUUAUAAUAUAAAGAAGAGAUAAAUGCACCUUAAAAAAAUCAGACAGAUCUUUCGAGGUUGUUUUCCGGCUAAAUCUUCUGUGAGUGAUGGAAUUCUUAGUACAGUUUACUAUUAUGUGGUUAAAGUGGUAACAUGAAUAUGAAUAAUUUUGAUAUUUAAAACAAAGACUAGACUUCGGAAAAUAUGUUCUAUAAAUAAAUGAUACUUUCUAAAUCUUAUUCCUUUAAAUCUUUAAAUAAUACUUUACUCUUCUUACGCAAUUCUUAUAAUUUGACCAGUAUCAUUAACACCAAAUAAUGCUGUCUAUGGUGAACUGGGGAGAUUCCCACUAUCUAUUAUAGCAAAGAAGAGGUCUAUUAAAUUUUGGUUAAAGAUAAUGAAAUCUGACAAUUCAUCAUUAUAUAAUAUGUAUACUGACCAGUGUAAUAAUAUUGUUGGAACUUGCUGGGCAAGUCGUAUUAAUUCUAUUAUUGACCAUUUGGGUUUUUCACAUCUUUUGAAUAAUUUCAACAAAGAUUUUAAUUAUUUUCCUAAGUAUGAUAAAAAGAAGAUUAAGAGAUCAAUAUAUUCAGGACUGGAAUGGUUCACUUAAUAAUUGCUCUAAAUUAGACUGUUAUAAGAAAUUUAAAAGUUCAUUCGGUUACGAACAUUACCUGGAUAAAAUUGAAAAUGAUUCACUUCGGAUUGAGCUGUCUCGCUUAAGAUUAAGCUCACAUAGAUUAGAAAUUGAAAUGGGUAGAUUUAGAGGGAUUGAUAGAACUGACAGAUUAUGUAAAAUGUGUAAUGCGAAUGUCACAGAAACUGAAUAUCAUUUUUUAUUAUGCUGUACAAAAUACUUGCAAAUCCGUAGAAAAUACCUGACUCACAUAUCAUGACCAACGAUUAAUAAAUUUAAUACUUUAAUGUCGUCUACAAAUAAAAAACAUUGAAUGAUUUGUGUCGUUUUAUUAAAGAAGCUUUUGAAAUUCGUAAUAGCACUCUGGAAGUUAUGACUGUUUCUUAAACUGAACUGUAUAUUUUCUAUUUGUAAUAUGUUGCUGUGCUUAUUGUCUUUGCCAUAUUUCUUGUUUAUUAUUUGUAAAUGGCCAAAGGCAAAUUGUGUUUUGCUGAUUAUGCCAAUAAACUUGAAACUUGAAUUAAAAUUGCUAGAAGUACAAUUGUGAAAUUUGUAUUUCUAAAACAAUAUACUAAUAACAUAUCAAAAUUGCAAAAACAAUAAAAAAAAUAUAAUGGCUCGACUGAUUUUGGUCUUAAACAUAGUUUGAAUACAAUUAAUAGCAGCAUCAACUAUUUCAGAAAGAAGUUCAGCAAACUUUGAUGUUUUGUCACUGAAAAGCAAAACCUAUUAUAGUGCAUAAUUAAACAAUUCUAUAUUGCCAAAAGGCAAAAUAUAAAGUUUGUAUAUUGUUUUGUUUUGUUGGUAUUUAGCAAUGUGAUGUUGUAUACCUAAUGCCUUUGUAUAUUUGUCAAGCUUUAUGCAUAUAACAUGAUGUACCAAGGCUGAA